AUCGCCCUGAGGUCGUUUUGCUCGUUUUCGUGUCGGAAUAUUGGGACUCGGACUGAGACUAUUCGGGGCUGCGCUAUAAACCGAAACCGGUUCACUUGGAUGCUGCGGACAAACUGAACCGUCCGUGCGUGCUGGCGGCCACCGCCGGUGAUGCGCUCUAGCGCAUUGCUACUUGUUUAACUUCAACUGACGACUGCGCACUGCUCGACACUGCCACAAGUUGCAUCGUUCCAAAGCCGCGCUACCAUGGUAGCGAGAUGAACUGCGACCGGUUGGAUUUAUCAAUCGCUAGCGCAGCACGUCCCACUGCCUAUAGAGCGGGCCGGUGGAUGCUGCGGCCGGACUGCCGGAAUUUGUAGCAUCGAGCAUCGAUGGUGCGGGUGAAGAUGAGAUCGUCCUGAAAGCGCUUCGGAGUGUCUGGUUCGGCCCGGGGGUUUUACCCCUCCUACCUCCUGUCCAAGCCGGUGUUGGUCACCUUUCCAGCCAUUGGGGAGUUAUCGGAGGUCCUACUGGUUGGAAAUUGUUUCCCAAGAUCUUGUCGGAAAGCCCAACGCCAUCGUCGUGCCAUCGCGCGAACCGUCGGUCAGUUUUGGGUUGCAGUUGUGGCGGGUGGAACGAGUUGUAGUUUUGUGUUGUGAUAAGUUCUAAGACUUCCUGUGCGUGUGUGUGUGUGUUUGGACUUUUAAAGGUUCGGUGCAAAGGUGUGUCAGACAUCCGGGUGAGAGUCAGUGCGCGUGUUGGUUAAUGUCUGUCUGGUGGAUUCGUCUGAGGCAUUUUAUCUAUCCGUGGAGUCUACGUGUGAAGUCCAACUCUUUUUCUGGAGACGAUUUCAGGAUUCAAACCCGUCGAAGGAAUGCCUUCGAGUGGGGGGUGCUUGGGUCUCUGAAGCGUCCCUAGAAUUGGGAAGGAUUUGCCUGUAGACAUCCAACGGAUGGGUGGUGUCAUGGCAACUCCACCAGCAACACACGACAGGUAGCAACUGGCUUUUGCUCGGGGUUUGAUCAUCUUUUCCGUCCUUUAUUGGUACCCCUCCCCACACACGGACAGGUCCUUAGAGCCUAAUCACAAACACAGACACAUACUUCGUCUCCACUCCCUGCUGCUCUGAAGCUGUCGGCGGUGACCGCGGUGGUGCUGGUGGUGUUGGUGUGGAACGCAAGGGAAAGGAAGCUCCCCGAUCGGUGGCUCCCCGAGGCUUCCUGGUUGGCACUACGGGUUGGUGUGCUGGGCCGGCAGGGUAGCGUCCACGCUGCCCGGACAGGCACCAGGUACGGUGCGGUCGCCAGACGUAUCCGCCCGUUUCGUGUGCGAGCGCUUCGGGAACGGUUGACUUUUCCACCCGCGUCCAUUAUGAAUCGUCAUAGAGAGAUUGAUAGUAUCACUUGUGUUUUUAAUUCACUUGCCGAAUUUUAAAUGCAAUAUUGAACAAAAUAACAUAUAAAAACUCGUUUUUGGAAAGUCCUUUAACAGCAGAGAAUUCAAUUUCCUCGUUAAAGGUAUAAGCAAAUAACAAAAAAAAAAAAAAACAAAACAAAACAACCAGACAAAUCAAACACACACACAACAAAUCACAAAACUGCAUGGCAUGGCUACAGUCAUGUCCAAGUUGAAGCGUGAUAAGAAUUUACAUAAUUUCUUCCAUCAAGACUCCUUCUUCCUUUCUUCGUUUUACCGCCCGUAAUUCAUCGACAAAAGACAUACAAAAAACAACUGUUGAGGUAGGCUUAUCGUUUGCCCGGCUAGACAAACAAUAAAAAAUCACAACCGAAUUGCUCAAUGAAGCUCAAUCACGGGGCAUGUUA